GGCGGCCCCCGCGGCGCCCCACCCCACCACCACCAGACCCUCGCCUCUCUCCCACCCCCACCCCACGCACCACCAGCCUCCCAUGCCCCACCUUCUAAUCCCACGCACCACCGACACAUAGGGCCAUGGCCACCCCCCGAUCUCCCACCUUCUUCCCCGCCCGGGGCCCCAGACCCCUACCUUCUUCCUCGCCGGAGCCCCACAACCCACCACCUUCUCCAUGGCCUCCUCCCCCACCGGUGGCCGCGCUCGUCAGGCCCGACCUCGUCGGAACCCCGCGGCGAGCCCCUACCCCGACGGGGGCCUAUCCUCCUCCAGUGGCUCGGACCACCAUGGCUCCGCCACAAAUCUGAAACAAGACUCCGGCGGGGGACUGCCCCCCGCGCUGGCCAGGGUCGUCCUCUCUGUCCAUGGCCAGACGAAGACUAGUCGUGCGCCCCUUCACCGCCAUCGACGCGACUUGGUCAACAGCCAAAGCCAUGGCCACCAAGCGCGUCCGCAACAGCAACAUAAUUGAAGUGCGCCGGGGCACGCGAUGCGGUUCGGUGACGCGUGGUCGUGUAGUUCGCGGCCACCACAGGCCCCCUCACCUCUACCUCCAUGGCCACGUCCUCAACUAGCGGCGCCCUGCCCUCGUCGCCGGCCAUGGCGCCGCAGCCACCAGGCUCGAGCGUCUGCUCUUCUCCCUUGACCCUUUGCUAGCCGGCGUCACCCCGGGCCGAUCCAGGCAGUUGGGCGGGGGUGUGGAUGUGCAGGGUAGUGCUCCCCGAGGUGCAGUGCGGCGUGCGUGCGUGCAGUCCAAAAAUCGGAGGCGUGCAGUGUAGUAGAGCACCAGAUGGCAGUGGCCAACAGCCCCUCGAUCCCGUCUCUCUGCCGACGGCAACUACUCACAUGGCGCUGCUCCUUGGACCCGCUCCAUCACCGGCAUCCCGCCGAUACGACGAGCAGCAAUGGAGGACCCCUGCAGAUCCCGUGCUCCUCGUCAACGGCAGCCGCCACCUGUUGUCUAGAUGAAGAAGAAGCGGUUUGCAGUCCACGCGAUGCCGGCGUGCAGUCUGUGUGUGCAGCUCCCAGCCCAACGACGGCCUGAUCCUCUCCAUUUUUGGAGUUAAUUUAUUUCCCCCAAUGUCACCUCACUCCUUGUAGAAAGCAACAAGUUUUAUCAAACUUGGUGAGGUCCCAGCCACCCACGGCAUGCAAUACGGAUAGUGACGACGUGCAGUUUGCUGUGCGAAUGCUGUCCAGGAUUUGCCAUUGGAGAUUGUCUAAAUCCUAGUGGUGGUGUUCCUUCCCGCCGGUGGUGGUGCUACUGCGAGCUGGAGUGGAGCUCUACCCUGACGCGUGGCGCUACAGUCCCUCUUGGUUGUCCCUCACCGCUAUACUCCUCUCUCAAGUAGAGAGCAUCAGUUCGAUUUGUAAUGCAUGCGUCUAGUUCCAGCGGCCGAGGUAGAAGCAGUUUAGUGGCAGCGUGCUUGCAGUUUGGUGCAUGUUGUCUUACAUUUCGGUUGCAAAAAAAUGAUGCAUAUAAGAUGCGUCCAGUUGCGGUUUAGUUGCUGCGCUGAUGUAGUUUUGCUAGGGUACGAGGUGGUGCUUCGUUGUGCAGUGGAAAAAACAAAGAAAAAGGAAAAGGACAAAAUAGAAGAAUGCAGUACACAUGGCUCGUCACUACAGUCCCAAAAGCAUGUUAAUGAAAAACAUUGUCCUAAAUAAUGUUACAUGAAAA